rnacentral:rRNA from 1 species
UACGUAGGGGGCCAGCGUUGUCCGAAGUUACUGGGCGUAAAGAGCGCGUAGGCGGGUCUUUAAGUGAGAGGUGAAAUUCUGAGGCUCAACCUCGGAACUGCCUUUCAUACUGGGGACCUUGAGUGCGGGAGAGGCGAGUGGAAUGGUCGGUGUAGCGGUGAAAUGCGUAGAUAUCGAUCGGAACACCCAUGGCGAAGGCAGCUCGCUG